UUCCUCUCAUUGACUUCUACCUAAUACCAGUUUCUUAGUUAAAAUUAAUUGGUUUUAAAACUGUUAUUCAUCAAAAUAUAAAGUGUCGCUCGGGGUGUCAGAUUUUGCGUCGCAAGGGGUAGAGGCUUGUCAUAAAAAAAUACAUAUUUGCAUGUAAAUUAGUCUUCAUAUGAUACAUUUUAUUUCAAACACAUCUACUUUACCAUGACAAAAUAAGGGUUUUUCAUUUUGCCUGUUUUUGGUCUUAUAAAACAUGUGCUUUUGAUUU
rnacentral:lncRNA from 1 species